rnacentral:tRNA from 1 species
GCCAGAGUGGCAUAGUGGUUUGAGUGUUUGACUACAACUCUGGAGACCAUGGUUUGAUUCUCAGCUCAGCCA